GUAGGUGGCAAGCGUUGUCCGGAAUUAUUGGGCGUAAAGCGCGCGCAGGCGGUCCUUUAAGUCUGAUGUGAAAGCCCACGGCUCAACCGUGGAGGGUCAUUGGAAACUGGGGGACUUGAGUACAGAAGAGGAAAGCGGAAUUCCAAGUGUAGCGGUGAAAUGCGUAGAGAUUUGGAGGAAACACCAGUGGCGAAGGCGGCUUUCUGGUCUGUAACUGACGCUGAGGCGCGAAAGCGUGGGGAGCAAACAGGGAUUAGAUACCCUGGUAGUCCACGCCGUAAACGAUGAGUGCUAAGUGUUAGGGGGUUUCCCGCCCCCUUAGUGCUGCAGCUAACGCAUUAAGCACUCCGCCUGGGGAGUACGGCCCGCAAGGCUG
rnacentral:rRNA from 1 species